rnacentral:lncRNA from 1 species
CUAGAUUCAUUAUCAAUAUGGUCGUUUGCCAUUUAUUUUAUUGUCAUUGAUUUGUAUACAAAAUAUGUUCACGCAUGUCUACUUGUAUAAUUUGAUUGAUUAUUUUUUAUAUGUCUGGGAGGGGCACAUAUUGAUUGAAACUUCAUCCAACUCAAACAAAUAUUUUAUAUCUGGAAAAUUUCAGGUAAAUCAUCUUGUCCGAUCUUUUAUUUAAUAUUUUUUGUUGUUGGCUUGUUUUCUCCAAUUUAAUCUUGUUUUGUUUUUUCUCCAUAAGAUCCACGAGCGAAACAACAAAACUCAGGUCAUGAAAUAUCAUUUCAAGCCUAAUGAAAUGGAAACUAUUUACGUUGCUGUAUAUUUUGAUGUCUUAUCUACUAUGUUGUGUUGUAUCGUUCGAUUUAGUGACGUCCAACAUAAACAUUCAUCAAGUGUGAUUUCUUUGAUUAAAUACAGGUAAAAUGAUAGACAUAAAUCUCCUUCAAUUUUAUUAUUAUAAUUUAUUUAGAUUUACUUGGAUAAUAAUGUUUUAUAUUAUUAUGUAUUUUAUAAAAAAUACAUAAUAUUUUAUAUAAAAGAGUGAUUUAUCCUUUAAAAAAAAGUGAUUGAUGAGCGCUAGUUUUUUACUCGAUUUUUUGAAGAAAAAAAAUCAAGUAAAGAAACAAUAGCAUACAAUUUCAUAUGAAUCCAUGUUGCUAACAUAUAUUAUGUCUUGUAAAUUCUUUUUUUUUUUUUUUUUUUUAACUAUUGCCGCACAGUAUGUGAAAUAAAAAUAUUUCAUUUAAAUAAAAUGAUUGAAAUAAAAUGCAGAAGUUUCAAAACAAAUUUACUAUUUUAAAUUUCUUAACACCUGUAAGUCUUUAUAGGCUGCAUUCUUAGCUAAAAGAAAUGUGUGCACUCUCACGUUUCUUGCUCAUUUGUAUGUGAAUGUAUGAUAAGUUAUAUUUGAAUAUUGUGGACAAAAAUUACAAGAUAAUUAUAAACAAUUGAAACUAUUUGGUUUUCAUGUAUGUUGUUCUCCUAUAUAGGUCUACUUGUGGCAAAGGAAGAGGAGCAGGCUAAGAAGUGUAUACUUAGGUUUUUUUUCCGCUAAACCAGGAGAAAGAACAUGCAUCAAGGGGAAGCAACGACAACCCAACUAGGUUGGCACCCUGAUGAACCCCCAACUAGGCUAAGAAGUGUAUACUUGGGUUAAAAUUCAGCAAGAUCAAUCGUAUUUAUGGUGAUUGAAUUGAUGAUUGAACUCUUGUUCUUCCAAAGUUGCUAAGUGCAAUGGAGACCUCAGUUGAAUUUUGUGCUCUUGAGAACACGUCUCAUUUGUAUAAGGAGGAUUCUUCUUAGAUGACAACGAAUUUUGGAAACAUGGUCAUUGGUGAUGGAGAUCAAUUUAUAGUUUACAUAUUCAAUUAUAAAAUACUGAACAAGACAAAACAACGAGUCUAUAUUAUCAACCAAAUGAGUAUCACGUCAUUCUUGUGUAAAUUCUAAUAUCCCAUAGUAUCACACAAUUCUUUUGAGAUGACAUAUUAUAUUUAAACACAUCCUGAACCUAUCAAAUACUGAUCAGGAAAAAACAAGUGAUUUUAUAUAUUCAUAAAUCAAAUUU